rnacentral:rRNA from 1 species
CAGCAGCCACGGGAAUACGAAGGGUGCAAGCGUUACUCGGAAUUACUGGGCGUAAAGCGUGCGUAGGUGGUGGUUUAAGUCCGUUGUGAAAGCCCUGGGCUCAACCUGGGAAUUGCAGUGGAUACUGGAUCACUAGAGUGUGGUAGAGGAUAGUGGAAUUUCCGGUGUAGCAGUGAAAUGCGUAGAGAUCGGAAGGAACACCGAUGGCGAAGGCAGCCCCCUGGGCCAACACUGACGCUCAUGCGCGAAAGCGUGGGGAGCAAGCAGGAUUAGAUACCCCCGUAGUCCCUGUCUCUUAUAU